CAUUAAUCCCGGAGGCCCUUUUGGCCCCUGUAUCCCAGUGAAGCCUUUAUCGCCUUGAUAGCCCUACACAAGAAGAAAUCAAGAUAUAAUAAUGAUACAACAAGGUCAUUAUUGGUUCUGGAUGCUGAUACCCUUCGCUACUGAGAAACAUCAACAAAAUAAUCAGUAGGUUCAAGGAUCAAAGCUGCCGUGGAACAAAAAAAGAUUGAGAAGAUUCUCAAUGGGAGAAUGUUUUCCUGUAUUCCAGACUUUACAAUAAAACGUUCAGCAUCA